rnacentral:rRNA from 1 species
GAUGAACGCUAGCGGGAGGCUUAACACAUGCAAGUCGAGGGGCAGCAUAGGGUAGCAAUACUCUGAUGGCGACCGGCAAACGGGUGAGUAACGCGUAUGCAACCUACCCUGUACAGGGGGAUAACCCGGAGAAAUUCGGACUAAUAUCCCGUAAUAAUAUCCGGAGGCAUCUUUGGAUAUUUAAAGUUCCGACGGUACGGGAUGGGCAUGCGUAACAUUAACUGGUUGGUAAGGUAACGGCUUACCAAGGCUAUGAUGUUUAGGGGUCCUGAGAGGGUGGUCCCCCACACUGGUACUGAGACACGGACCAGACUCCUACGGGAGGCAGCAGUGAGGAAUAUUGGUCAAUGGGCGCAAGCCUGAACCAGCCAUCCCGCGUGCAGGAAGACGGCCCUAUGGGUUGUAAACUGCUUUUCCAGGGAGAGAAACUUACGCACGUGUUGCGUGACUGACGGUACCCUGGGAAUAAGCCCCGGCUAACUACGUGCCAGCAACCGCGGUAAAACGUCUACUG